AUUGAACGCUGGCGGCAGGCUUAACACAUGCAAGUCGAGCGAGCGGCGGACGGGUGAGUAAUGUCUGGGAAACUGCCUGAUGGAGGGGGAUAACUACUGGAAACGGUAGCUAAUACCGCAUACCAUCAGAUGUGCCCAGAGGGGAUUAGCUCGUAGGUGGGGUAAUGGCUCACCUCGGCGACGAUCCCUAGCUGGUCUGAGAGGAUGACCAGCCACACGGGAACUGAGACACGGUCGAGACGCCGACGGGAGGCAGAAGUGGGGAAUAGUGCACAAUGGGCGCAAGCCGGAUGCAGCCAUGCCGCGUGUGUGAAGAAGGCCUGCGGGUUGUAAAGCACUUUCAGCGAGGAGGCGUUACUCGCAGAAGAAGCACCGGCUAACUCCGUGCCAGCAGCCGCGGUAAUUC
rnacentral:rRNA from 1 species